GAACGAGAAAGUGGGGCAAUCCAUGAGUAAAGUGGCGUACGGGUGAGUAACACGUGGAUCAUCUGCCCUUUAGUGGGGAAUACCGCUGGGAAACCGGCGACAAUACCGCAUAAGCUCGAGAGAGGAAAGCAGCAAUGCGCUGAAGGAGGAGUCCGCGGCCGAUUAGCUAGUUGGUAGGGUAAUGGCCUACCAAGGCUGUGAUCGGUAGCCGGCCUGAGAGGGCACACGGCCACACUGGCACUGAAACACGGGCCAGACUCCUACGGGAGGCAGCAGUGGGGAAUCUUGCACAAUGGGGGAAACCCUGAUGCAGCGACGCCGCGUGAGCGAUGAAGCCCUUCGGGGUGUAAAGCUCUUUCGGCAGGGAAGAUUAUGACGGCACCUGUAGAAGCAGCUGCGGCUAACUACGUGCCAGCAGCCGCGGUAAUACGUAGGCAGCAAGCGUUGUUCGGAGUUACUGGGCGUAAAGGGUGCGUAGGCGGUUCUAUAAGUAUGGUGUGAAAUCUCCCGGCUUAACUGGGAGGGUGCGCUAUAGACUGUGGGACUAGAGUGUGGGAGAGGAAAGUGGAAUUCCUGGUGUAGCGGUGAAAUGCGUAGAUAUCAGGAGGAACACCGGUGGUGUAAACGGCUUUCUGGACCAUAACUGAC
rnacentral:rRNA from 1 species